rnacentral:rRNA from 1 species
UGGGGAAUAUUGCACAAUGGGCGCAAGCCUGAUGCAGCCAUGCCGCGUGUAUGAAGAAGGCCUCCGGGUUGUAAAGCACUUUCAGCGGGGAGGAAGGCGAUAAGGUUAAUAACCUCAUCGAUUGACGUUACCCGCAGAAGAAGCACCGGCUAACUCCGUGCCAGCAGCCGCGGUAAUACGGAGGGUGCAAGCGUUAAUCGGAAUUACUGGGAUUAAAGCGCACGCAGGCGGUUUGUUAAGUCAGAUGUGAAAUCCCCGGGCUCAACCUGGGAACUGCAUCUGAUACUGGCAAGCUUGAGUCUCGUAGAGGGGGGUAGAAUUCCAGGUGUAGCGGUGAAAUGCGUAGAGAUCUGGAGGAAUACCGGUGGCGAAGGCGGCCCCCUGAACGAAGACUGACGCUCAGGUGCGAAAGCGUGGGGAGCAAACAGG